CAUAACCUCGGGAAACUGGGGAUAAUUCCGGAUAACGCAUAUUUGCUGGAAUGCUUUAUGCGUCAAAAGGAUUCGUCUGCCCAAGGAUGGGUCUGCGGCCUAUCAGGUAGUAGUGGGUGUAAUGUACCUACUAGCCAGCGACGGGUACGGGUUGUGAGAGCAAGAGCCCGGAGAUGGAUUCUGAGACAUGAAUCCAGGCCCUACGGGGCGCAGCAGGCGCGAAAACUUUACAAUGCGGGAAACCGUGAUAAGGGGACACCGAGUGCCAGCAUCAUAUGCUGGCUGUCCGGAUGUGUAAAAUACAUCCGUUAGCAAGGGCCGGGCAAGACCGGUGCCAGCCGCCGCGGUAACACCGGCGGCCCGAGUGGUGAUCGUGAUUAUUGGGUCUAAAGGGUCCGUAGCCGGUUUGGUCAGUCCUCCGGGAAAUCUGAUAGCUCAACUAUUAGGCUUUCGGGGGAUACUGCCAGACUUGGAACCGGGAGAGGUAAGAGGUACUACAGGGGUAGGAGUGAAAUCUUGUAAUCCCUGUGGGACCACCUGUGGCGAAGGCGUCUUACCAGAACGGGUUCGACGGUGAGGGACGAAAGCUGGGGGCACGAACCGGAUUAGAUACCCGGGUAGUCCCAGCCGUAAACGAUGCUCGCUAGGUGUCAGGCAUGGCGCGACCGUGUCUGGUGCCGCAGGGAAGCCGUGAAGCGAGCCACCUGGGAAGUACGGCCGCAAGGCUGAAACUUAAAGGAAUUGGCGGGGGAGCACAACAACGGGUGGAGCCUGCGGUUUAAUUGGACUCAACGCCCGGACAACUCACCGGGGGCGACAGCAAUAUGUAGGGCCAAGCUGAAGACUUUGCCUGAAUCGCUGAGAGGAGGUGCAU
rnacentral:rRNA from 1 species